rnacentral:rRNA from 1 species
AAUCAACGCUGGCGGCGUGCCUCAGACAUGCAAGUCGAACGAUUAAAGCUCUCUUCGGAGAGUGUAUAGAGUGGCGCACGGGUGAGUAACACGUAAGUAAUCUACCUUUGAGUGGGGAAUAACCCGGGAACCCGAGCUAAUACCGCAUAAUGCAGCGGCACCGCAAGGUGACAGUUGUUAAAGGAGCAAUCCGCUUAAAGAGGAGCUUGCGGCAGAUUAGCUAGNGGUAAGGUAAUGGCUUACCAAGGCUUCGAUCUGUAUCCGGCCUGAGAGGGCGGUCGGACACACUGACACUGAAUAACGGGUCAGACUCCUACGGGAGGCAGCAGUCGGGAAUUUUGGGCAAUGGCGAAAGCCUGACCCAGCAACGCCGCGUGAAGGGUGAAGUAUUUCGGUAUGUAAACUUCGAAAGAA